AUCCUUCCGUAGGUUCACCUGCGGAAGGAUCAUUACCGAGUGAGGGCCCUCUGGGUCCAACCUCCCACCCGUGUUUAUUUUACCUUGUUGCUUCGGCGGGCCCGCCUUAACUGGCCGCCGGGGGGCUUACGCCCCCGGGCCCGCGCCCGCCGAAGACACCCUCGAACUCUGUCUGAAGAUUGUAGUCUGAGUGAAAAUAUAAAUUAUUUAAAACUUUCAACAACGGAUCUCUUGGUUCCGGCAUCGAUGAAGAACGCAGCGAAAUGCGAUACGUAAUGUGAAUUGCAAAUUCAGUGAAUCAUCGAGUCUUUGAACGCACAUUGCGCCCCCUGGUAUUCCGGGGGGCAUGCCUGUCCGAGCGUCAUUUCUGCCCUCAAGCACGGCUUGUGUGUUGGGCCCCGUCCUCCGAUCCCGGGGGACGGGCCCGAAAGGCAGCGGCGGCACCGCGUCCGGUCCUCGAGCGUAUGGGGCUUUGUCACCCGCUCUGUAGGCCCGGCCGGCGCUUGCCGAUCAACCCAAAUUUUUAUCCAGGUUGACCUCGGAUCAGGUAGGGAUACCCGCUGAACUUAAGCAUAUCAAUAAGCGGAGGAAUCCAUGAACCUUGAAUCUACAACUGGGCUCCC
rnacentral:rRNA from 1 species